rnacentral:rRNA from 1 species
ACUAAGUGAUUAUGGGUCAGAUUUGAAAUCUGUCUUAAGAUAUAGUCGGGCCUUUGAUGAAAAUCGGAGGGCUAAGUCACUGAGAUUUAGAAUGAAAACCGUUCCGUAGGUGAACCUGCGGAAGGAUCAUU